rnacentral:rRNA from 1 species
CAGUAGCCGCGGUAAUACGAAGGGGGCUAGCGUUGUUCGGAUUAACUGGGCGUAAAGGGCGCGUAGGCGGAUUGUUUAGUUAGGCGUGAAAUUCCUGGGCUUAACCUGGGGACUGCGCUUAAUACAGGCAGUCUAGAGUGAGGAAGAGGGUUGUGGAAUUCCCAGUGUAGAGGUGAAAUUCGUAGAUAUAUGGAGGAACACCGGCGGCGAAGGCGACUUUCUGGACGAAAACUGACGCUGAGGCGCGAAAGCCAGGGGAGCGAACGGGAUUAGAUACCCGUGUAGUCCCUGUCUCUUAUAC